AAGACUUUAAGUUAAGUAAACUAGUAGCCUUCAAAGUUACCAAAAAAAGAGCUCUUUUAGGUCUUA
rnacentral:tRNA from 1 species